rnacentral:rRNA from 1 species
GAUGAACGCUGGCGGCGUGCCUAAUACAUGCAAGUCGAGCGAACAGACGAGAAGCUUGCUUCUCUGAUGUUAGCGGCGAACGGGUGAGUAACACGUGGGUAACCUACCUAUAAGACUGGGAUAACUCCGGGAAACCGGGGCUAAUACCGGAUAAUAUUUUGAACCGCAUGGUUCGAUAGUGAAAGACGGUUUCGGCUGUCACUUAUAGAUGGACCCGCGCCGUAUUAGCCAGUUGGUAAGGUAACGGCUUAACAAGGCGACGAUACGUAGCCGACCUGAGAGGGUGAUCGGCCACACUGGAACUGAGACACGGUCCAGACUCCUACGGGAGGCAGCAGUAGGGAAUCUUCCGCAAUGGGCGAAAGCCUGACGGAGCAACGCCGCGUGAGUGAUGAAGGUCUUCGGAUCGUAAAACUCUGUUGUUAGGGAAGAACAAAUUUGUUAGUAACUGAACAAGUCUUGACGGUACCUAACCAGAAAGCCACGGCUAACUACGUGCCAGCCGCCGCGGUAA